rnacentral:sRNA from 1 species
UGGCAUAUCUUAAAUUUUGCAAAAUUAUAAUGGCAUGGUUCUAAUUUUUCCUUGAUUUAUU